rnacentral:rRNA from 1 species
GAUGAACGCUGGCGGCGUGCUUAACACAUGCAAGUCGAACGGUGAAGCAGGAGCUUGCUCUUGUGGAUCAGUGGCGAACGGGUGAGUAACACGUGAGCAACCUGCCCCUGACUCUGGGAUAAGCGCUGGAAACGGCGUCUAAUACUGGAUAUGUGAUGUGACCGCAUGGUCUGCAUCUGGAAAGAAUUUCGGUUGGGGAUGGGCUCGCGGCCUAUCAGCUUGUUGGUGAGGUAAUGGCUCACCAAGGCGUCGACGGGUAGCCGGCCUGAGAGGGGGACCGGCCACACUGGGACUGAGACACGGCCCGGACUCCUACGGGAGGCAGCAGUGGGGAAUAUUGCACAAUGGGCGGAAGCCUGAGGCAGCAACGCCGCGUGAGGGAUGACGGCCUUCGGGUUGUAAACCUCUUUUAGCAGGGAAGAAGCGAAAGUGACGGUACCUGCAGAAAAAGCACCGGCUAACUACGUGCCAGCAGCCGCGGUAA